UAACAACUCACUACUUGCAAAAUAUCUGAUUAUCAGUAAAUCAAUGUUUUAAGGACGAAAUAUGACACACUACGACGUUUAAAUCAUCUAUUAUAAAAAUUUUUGCCUCUUAUUUACAACCUCAAUAUAUACACUGCGUUGCUACCGCUGGAAAUCCAAGAUGGCCGCUAUUCACCCCUGAGAAAGCUACCACGAAAAGGUUUUCUACUGUUUCUACUGUGGCCGUACUGACGGGUAAGAACAUCCAUAUGUAUAUACUUAGAUAGAUACACUUAUAAACACUCACAUUAUAAUAUGCAUAUGUGCAACUUGAAAUUUUCUUUUACACUGUGUACUGCAUUUUAGUUGGUUGCUAUUUUAUUUGUUUCGUUACUGUUGAUCUGCACCUUUUUUAAUACAAUGUUCAUUUAAUA